rnacentral:rRNA from 1 species
UACGGGGGGAGCAAGCGUUGUUCGGAUUUACUGGGCGUAAAGGGCGCGUAGGCGGCCACCGCAAGUCGGUUGUGAAAUCUCUGGGCUUAACCCAGAAAGGUCAACCGAUACUGCGGGGCUAGAGUGCAGAAGGGGCAACUGGAAUUCUCGGUGUAGCGGUGAAAUGCGUAGAUAUCAGGAGGAACACCUGCGGUGUAGACGGCUUACUGGACCGUAACUGACGCUGAGGCACGAAAGCGUGGGUAGCAAACAGG